rnacentral:rRNA from 1 species
CGGAGGUGGCAAGCGUUGUUCGGAAUUACUGGGCGUAAAGGGCGCGUAGGCGGCAAGGCAAGUCAGGUGUGAAAGCCCCGGGCUUAACCCGGGAAUUGCAUCUGAAACUGCUGUGCUUGAGUUCUGGAGGGGGUAGUGGAAUUCCCAGUGUAGCGGUGAAAUGCGUAGAUAUUGGGAGGAACACCUGCGGCGAAGGCGGCUACCUGGACAGAAACUGACGCUGAGGCGCGAAAGCUAGGGGAGCGAACGGGAUUAGAUACCCCGGUAGUCCUAGCUGUAAACGAUGGGCACUUGGUGUUGGGGGUAUUGAGUCCCCCAGUGCCGGAGUCAACACGUUAAGUGCCCCGCCUGGGGAGUACGGUCGCAAGACUG